UACGUAGGGUGCUAGCGUUGUCCGGAAUCAUUGGGCGUAAAGAGCGUGUAGGCGGUCCGGUAAGUCCGUUGUGAAAGUCAGGGGCUCAACCCUUGAAUGCCGGCGGAUACUGUCGGGCUAGAGUCCGGAAGAGGCAAGUGGAAUUCCCGGUGUAGCGGUGAAAUGCGCAGAUAUCGGGAGGAACACCUAUGGCGAAGGCAGCUCGCUGGGCCAUUCCUGACGCUGAGACGCGAAAGCUAGGGGAGCGAACAGG
rnacentral:rRNA from 1 species